rnacentral:rRNA from 1 species
UGGGGAAUAUUGGACAAUGGGGGCAACCCUGAUCCAGCAAUGCCGCGUGGGUGAUGAAGGCCUUCGGGUUGUAAAGCCCUUUCGCACGCGACGAUGAUGACGGUAGCGUGAGAAGAAGCCCCGGCUAACUUCGUGCCAGCAGCCGCGGUAAUACGAAGGGGGCUAGCGUUGUUCGGAAUUACUGGGCGUAAAGGGCGCGUAGGCGGUUGGAAUCGUCGGAUGUGAAAGGCCUGGGCUUAACCUGGGAACGGCAUUCGAUACGGUCCGACUAGAGUGUGGGAGAGGAUGGUGGAAUUCCCAGUGUAGAGGUGAAAUUCGUAGAUAUUGGGAAGAACACCGGUGGCGAAGGCGGCCAUCUGGACCACAACUGACGCUGAGGCGCGAAAGCGUGGGGAGCAAACAG